AUUGAACGCUGGCGGCAGGCCUAACACAUGCAAGUCGAACGAGUGGCGGACGGGAGAGUAAUGUCGGGGAAAACGCCUGAGGGAGGGGGAAAACUACAGGAAAAGGUAGCUAAUACCGCAUCCCAUCAGAAAUGCACAGGGGGGUAUAGCUAGGUGGUGGGGUAACGGCUCACCCAGGCGACGCUCCCUAGCUGGUUUGUGAGGAUGAACAGCCACACUGUACGUGAGACACGGCCCAGACUCCUACGGGAGGCAGCAGUGGGGAAUAUUGCACAAUGGGCGCAAGCCUGAUGCAGCCAUGCCGCGUGUAUGAAGAAGGCCUUCGGGUUGUAAAGUACUUUCAGCGGGGAGGCGUUACCCACAGAAUGAGCACCGGCUAACUCCGUGCCAGCAGCCGCGGUAAUUC
rnacentral:rRNA from 1 species